UUUUUAAUUAGAAUCUUGUAUGAAUGGUUCGACAAAAGAAUUACUGUCUUUAUAUUAAUUUUGAAUUUAACUUUUAAGUGAAAAGGCUUAAAUAUAUUAAAGGGACGAUAAGACCCUAUAAAACUUUACAUUAUAAUUUUAUUUAAUUAAAUUUGUAAAUAAAAAUUUAAUUUAAUUAUAUGUUGUGUUGGGGAGACAAAGGUAAAAUGAAUUUUAACUGCUUUACAUUAAAACAUAUAUUUAUGGAGAUAUUAAAAGAUCCUUUAUAGAGAUUAAAAGAUUAAGUUACUUUAGGGAUAACAGCGUAAUUCUUUUUGAGAGCCCCUAUCGAAAAAAGAGUUUGCGACCUCGAUGUUGAAUUAAAAUAUCUUUAUAGUGCAGAGGCUAUAAGAGAAGGUCUGUUCGACCUUUAAAUUUUUAC
rnacentral:rRNA from 1 species